GACGAACGCUGGCGGCGUGCCUAAUACAUGCAAGUAGAACGCUGAAGAGAGGAGCUUACUCUUCUUGGAUGAGUUGCGAACGGGUGAGUAACGCGUAGGUAACCUGCCUUGUAGCGGGGGACAACUAUUGGAAACGAUAGCUAAUACCGCAUAACAAUGGAUGACACAUGUCAUUUAUUUGAAAGGGGCAAUUGCUCCACUACAAGAUGGACCUGCGUUGUAUUAGCUAGUAGGUGAGGUAAUGGCUCACCUAGGCGACGAUACAUAGCCGACCUGAGAGGGUGAUCGGCCACACUGGGACUGAGACACGGCCCAGACUCCUACGGGAGGCAGCAGUAGGGAAUCUUCGGCAAUGGGGGCAACCCUGACCGAGCAACGCCGCGUGAGUGAAGAAGGUUGUCGGAUCGUAAAGCUCGGUUGUAAGUCAAGAACGGGUGUGAGAGUGGAAAGUUCACACUGUGACGGUAGCUUACCAGAAAGGGACGGCUAACUACGUG
rnacentral:rRNA from 1 species